rnacentral:rRNA from 1 species
UACAGAGGGUGCGAGCGUUGUCCGGAAUCACUGGGCGUAAAGGGCGCGUAGGCGGCCCGGUAAGGUUGCGGUGAAAGCCCGGGGCUCAACCCCGGGUCGGCCGUGGCAACUGCUGGGCUGGAGCACAGUAGAGGCGGGUGGAAUUCCGGGUGUAGCGGUGGAAUGCGUAGAGAUCCGGAAGAACACCGGUGGCGAAGGCGGCCCGCUGGGCUGUUGCUGACGCUGAGGCGCGACAGCGGGGGGAGCAAACAGG